AUAAAUAAUGGGGUUAGUCCUCCCAAUUUCUCUGCAUCGUAGAAAUAAGCUAACAUUUUCUCAAAAAAUUCUCUGAGUUUGGGGAACUAAUUCCAAGUUAAGCUCAUAAUCGAAAACUUCCCUCUUCUCAAACUCUGUGUUCUACUCAUCUGAAUUUUUAUAAGGGUACAAAGUUUCAACUCAUUCGCGUAAAGAAAUAUACAUUUUCUCAAUAGUUCUCUCCUAUUGGCUCUUACUAUAUAACUUUGGAUGCAAUGGAUUCAGCUGCUGGUUCUUCGCUUCAAACUUUUUAGACUAGAGUAUCAGAAGAAGAGGGUGGUAAAUUUAUUCUGACGUGCAAGAUUGGAAGAAUCCAAGGUGAAUGAAUCAGAGCUGCAAGACAAUGGCUGGAUUCGUCUAAAUUUGGAACUUGCUGUUGCCACCACCACUGAUGGGAUAGGGACUGUGGUCUCUCCAACUUGUUGGAGAUUGUGAACGUGACCAUCAAUGAUGACGGACGCAAUGCCAAAAAUGCAAUAAUCUACAUAAGGUACAAUCUACAAAAUGCAAUUAUAGUUAGAAGGGCCCUGUUCAAGCUGGCGGCUGCGGCUACACGCGCGGCUGACAUACGAACAACAAGCGCGUCUAAAUCUCUGCGGCCAUUCGCAAUUGUCUGAAUAAAUUCAGCAUUUUGUUUCGGACGCAGGGAUAUCUAGUAAACGAACACCCGCCCUAAUGCUGCGGGAUACGGGAUGCUUCAUGCUCGUGGGUCAGACUCAGAGUUCAGAAAUUAUACCAAAACACCCUAGUCCUAGUCUCGUUGCUAAUUAGGAUACGGGAUGCUUCAGUCUCAAGGGUCAGAAUUGUAAAGAUGCGAUUGACACUUCUAAGUUUAUUUUAAGCCAAGAAGCCAUAUCAUAUAAUUACAAUUAGAGCCAUAUAAAACAAAGUUUAUUUUAAGCCAAGAAGCUUCUGGCUCAUAUUAGCAUCCUACAAACUAUACAGCUUUUGAGAA